UACGUAGGGUGCGAGCGUUGUCCGGAAUUAUUGGGCGUAAAGGGCUCGUAGGCGGUUUGUCGCGUCGGGAGUGAAAACGCCGUGCUUAACACGGCGCUUGCUUUCGAUACGGGCAGACUAGAGGUAUUCAGGGGAGAACGGAAUUCCUGGUGUAGCGGUGGAAUGCGCAGAUAUCAGGAGGAACACCGGUGGCGAAGGCGGGUCUCUGGGCAGUAACUGACGCUGAGGAGCGAAAGCGUGGGGAGCGAACAGG
rnacentral:rRNA from 1 species